GACGAACGCUGGCGGCGUGCUUAACACAUGCAAGUCGAACGGAGUGGCGAACGGGUGAGUAACACGUGAGUACCCUGCCUUUUUCUUUGGGAUAACGCUCAGAAAUGAGUGCUAAUACUGGAUGAGAUGGGCUCGCGGCUUUUCAGCUGGUUGGUGGGGUGAUGGCUUACCAAGGCCUUGACGGGUAGCCGGCCUGAGGAGGGGGGCGGUCACAUUGGGAAUGGGAUACGGCCCAGGCUCCUACGGGGGGCAGCAGUGGGGAAUUUUGCACAAUGGGGGGAACCUUGAUGCAGCGACGCCGCGUGAGGGAUGGAGGCCUUCGGGUUGUGAACCUCUUUCGCUCGUGUGCGUGUAGCGGGUAAAGAAGCGCCGGCUAACUACGUGCCAGCAGCCGCGGUAAUAC
rnacentral:rRNA from 1 species